AUCAGAUGUGUUAAUAAAUUACAUUUUAAGCAAACAAAACUAUAAUUAGAAUCUCCGACUAAAGUAUAUUAUUGGGAUAUAAAGGCUGGUUUAACAAAACUGAGGAGCAUACAUGCAGUUCCGAGGAUUUUAUGUUAUUUUCUGUUGCUGUGGACACAUUUAAAUAUUUUCCUUCAAGCACAGAUGGCAACGGACUGUACGGAGAGCAGCUUUUGGACCGCCUGAAAGCUUAUCAGAGCUUCAACUCCCCCA